rnacentral:rRNA from 1 species
GUUUCCGUAGGUGAACCUGCGGGAAGGAUCAUUGGCACACACAAGUUGCAGCCAACGCGCGGCGAACAAACACAUUGUCCCCCCGGCGGGUCGUGGCGCCUCGCGGCGUCGCGGUCGGCCACCUCCCUUCGUCACGAGCUUCGUCCCGUCACGAACUUGGGGCGUCGGGUUUCCACGAUGCCUUCACCGAAUGACUGAGUCCCUUAUCACGACUUGGGUUGUGAAACCUUGUGAGUUGUGAAACCUUAACUUAAAACAACUCUCAGCAACGGAUAUCUUGGCUCUUGCAACGAUGAAGAACGCAGCGAAAUGCGAUACGUAGUGUGAAUUGCAGAAUUCCGCGAAUCAUCGAGUCUUUGAACGCAAGUUGCGCCCGAGGCUUGUCCAAGGGCAUUUCCGCUAGAGCGUCACCGCGCCCCCCACCGAUCCACUCCCAUUGCGAGUCGGGUCGAGUGAAAGUGGCCAUCCCGGAGGGCCUUCGAUGCGCCCGAAGGGUUGGCUGAAAUGGAUGGAAUCGGGCCGCCGUGGUGACACAGUCCGCGAUCGGGUGAUCCGAGCUCCUUCGGGAGCCCGGAAUUUUUCUAAGUGCGUGGCUGUGUCCCCCAGUUGGUCUCCUCGGUUCCCUCACGCAGGUCGAGCGCGCCCCCGCGGCGCGCGUCACGCAUCAGACCUCUAAUGGGAAAAGACUACCCGCUGAG